GGAGAAUCAAUAAUUUUGUCUCUGUUAUCAUUUCAGUAUUGUGGAAAAAUGCUUAAGAAAGUAAAAGCAUAGAACCCCUUGACUGAGGCUCUUGUGAAAACACUGGUGCCUGAGCAGUCUCUGUUUUAUUUCUGUAUUUUAUUUUCCAGUAACAUUUGAUUACUGCUCAAUAACCUGUUUACACAGGUUGUACACAUAAGUAUCAACAACAUUAUUUCCACUUUAUUGAUUGUUCUCCCCAAAGAGGAUAUAAUGAAAAGUGGUAUUGAUUUCCUGCUGUUUUUCUUUUCUUGUCUUGCAGGUCUGCAUUCUAGAAGAUUUGUGUAAAAAGCUAGAUUACCUUUAUACACAGCACACGCUGACUUUACAGGAGCUACACAGCAUCAGUUUACAUGUGGAAAGAUUGAAAGACCUCAUGAAUUUCCAGAUAAAAAUUCUUCAGCAAAAGUCUGAAAAGGCAGAAGGACAAAAUUCACACGUGUCGGGGGUUCUAGUAUUAAAAACAGAACAAGCAGCUAAUGAAGGAGAGAAAACCGACUGGCCAGUGGAAAAGCAAUAUCUUUGGCAAGCACACACCAUCUUGCAAGAGAUACAAGAAUCUUUACAGAAACGAGAGAGGGAAAUCACUGAUCUCCUACAAAGUGAAAGAAGAUUUAACAAGGCGAUGAAACCUCAAAUGACAGUGUUGAUGUUCCUGAAAUCUCUUAUCAAGAUGGUUCACACCAUAUAUUGUGAUGUCCCUGGGGCACAACAAUGCAUCCAUGACCUUAUCAGGAAGAACAAGGAUGAAAGAGCUGAUCUGGAAGAAGUUUUUAACAAUGCUCAAGCUGACAUUCUGUCCUAUGAAAUAUUUUGUGGAAAUGAACUUUUGGAUGACACAAGGACACACCUCCCAAUGAAGCUUUUCAGAAACAUUGGAAAAGCAAAAUCUGAUUUAGAAUAUGUUGAAACAGAAAAAAUUGUGUUUGAUUGUAUCCAGACAGGAGAAAUCCCCAAAUGGAUUAAAAGGGGGUCAGGUGAGAAAUCCUUUUGUCAAAUCACAGAAGCUUAACUAUCCUCAGCCAGCAUACUUUUGAAUACAUAAAACAAUAGUACAGCAGUAAAAAGCAAGUUGUUGCAAUGCCUUUAGUGUUCCAAUGCCACAUCUUCCAUUUUGUGCAUUUUAGUGAGCUACUGUAUGAAUUGCAAUAGUGUGUCAUGGAUUUUAAAUUUGGCUUCUAAAUGUAAACUCCAUCAUUCAUCUUCUCUUUGGUAUCUUUAUCAUUUUGAAAACUGAUGUACUUUUAUAUUCUGUCUAAAUAUCUCAAUGCAUGUUCUAGGUAG
rnacentral:lncRNA from 1 species